UCGAACGAUGAAGCUUCUAGCUUGCUAGAAGUGGAUUAGUGGCGCACGGGUGAGUAAGGUAUAGUUAAUCUGCCCUACACAAGAGGACAACAGUUGGAAACGACUGCUAAUACUCUAUACUCCUGCUUAACACAAGUUGAGUAGGGAAAGUUUUUCGGUGUAGGAUGAGACUAUAUAGUAUCAGCUAGUUGGUAAGGUAAUGGCUUACCAAGGCUAUGACGCUUAACUGGUCUGAGAGGAUGAUCAGUCACACUGGAACUGAGACACGGUCCAGACUCCUACGGGAGGCAGCAGUAGGGAAUAUUGCGCAAUGGGGGAAACCCUGACGCAGCAACGCCGCGUGGAGGAUGACACUUUUCGGAGCGUAAACUCCUUUUCUUAGGGAAGAAUUCUGACGGUACCUAAGGAAUAAGCACCGGCUAACUCCGUGCCAGCAGCCGCGGUAAUACGGAGGGUGCAAGCGUUACUCGGAAUCACUGGGCGUAAAGGGCGCGUAGGCGGAUUAUCAAGUCUCUUGUGAAAUCUAAUGGCUUAACCAUUAAACUGCUUGGGAAACUGAUAGUCUAGAGUGAGGGAGAGGCAGAUGGAAUUGGUGGUGUAGGGGUAAAAUCCGUAGAUAUCACCAAGAAUACCCAUUGCGAAGGCGAUCUGCUGGAACUCAACUGACGCUAAGGCGCGAAAGCGUGGGGAGCAAACAGGAUUAGAUACCCUGGUAGUCCACGCCCUAAACGAUGUACACUAGUUGUUGGGGUGCUAGUCAUCUCAGUAAUGCAGCUAACGCAUUAAGUGUACCGCCUGGGGAGUACGGUCGCAAGAUUAAAACUCAAAGGAAUAGACGGGGACCCGCACAAGCGGUGGAGCAUGUGGUUUAAUUCGAAGAUACGCGAAGAACCUUACCUGGGCUUGAUAUCCUAAGAACCUUUUAGAGAUAAGAGGGUGCUAGCUUGCUAGAACUUAGAGACAGGUGCUGCACGGCUGUCGUCAGCUCGUGUCGUGAGAUGUUGGGUUAAGUCCCGCAACGAGCGCAACCCACGUAUUUAGUUGCUAACGGUUCGGCCGAGCACUCUAAAUAGACUGCCUUCGUAAGGAGGAGGAAGGUGUGGACGACGUCAAGUCAUCAUGGCCCUUAUGCCCAGGGCGACACACGUGCUACAAUGGCAUAUACAAUGAGACGCAAUACCGCGAGGUGGAGCAAAUCUAUAAAAUAUGUCCCAGUUCGGAUUGUUCUUUGCAACUCGAGAGCAUGAAGCCGGAAUCGCUAGUAAUCGUAGAUCAGCCAUGCUACGGUGAAUACGUUCCCGGGUCUUGUACUCACCGCCCGUCACACCAUGGGAGUUGGUUUCACUCGAAGCCGGAAUACUAA
rnacentral:rRNA from 1 species